UCCCCUCCUCCAGCUGGUAUAAUAAUAACUCCACUACCAUAGACGUCCCCUCCUCCAGCUGGUAUAAUAAUAACUCCACUACCAUAGACGUCCCCUCCUCCAGCUGGUAUAAUAAUAACUCCACUACCAUAGACGUCCCCUCCUCCAGCCCCCACAGAGUAGGAGUGUAUCUGGACUGGUCAGCCGGCACUCUGUCCUUCUAUAGAGCCUCCUCUGACACACUGACCCACCUGAUCACAUUCACCUCCACAUUCACUGAGCCCCUCUAUCCAGGGUUUAGGGUUGAUGAUGUUGACUCUUCAGUGUCCCUGAAAUAAUAACUGGACACACACACACACACACACACACCCACACUGGACACACACACCCACACUGGACACACACACACACACACACUGGAUACACACACACACACACACUGGAUACACACACACACACACACACACUGGAUACACACACACACACACACACACACACUGGAAACACACACACACACACACUGGAUACACACACACACUGGAUACACACACACACUGGAUACACACACACACUGGAUACACACACACACUGGAUACACACACACACUGGAUACACACACACACACACUCACUGGACACACACACACUCACUGGACAAACACACACACUGGACACACACACAAACACACUGGAUACACACACUGGAUUCACACACACAAACACACUGGACACACACACUCACUGGACACACACACGCUUGACACACACACACACACUCACUGGAUACACACACACUGGAUACACACACACUGGAUACACACACACACACACACUGGAUCCACACACUGGAUACACACACACAAACACACACACACACACACACACUGGACACUCACACAUGUUAAAUCAGUUUCUGGACCACAGGUUCUAGAACAGCUUCUAUCCCAGUUCUAUCUGCCUGUUAAAUCAGUUUCUGGACCACAGGUUCUAGAACAGCUUCUAUCCCAGUUCUAUCUGCCUGUUAAAUCAGUUUCUGGACCACAGGUUCUAGAACAGCUUCUAUACCAGUUCUAUCUGCCUGUUAAAUCAGUUUCUGGACCACAGGUUCUAGAACAGUUUCUAUAUAGGGAAGGUAGGGGAGCGGAGGGGAUAUAGGGAAGGUAUAGGGAAGGUAGGGGAGAGGAGGGGGGUAUAGGGAAGGUAGGGGAGAGGAGGGGGUAUUGAAAAACUGAGUUUAAAUGUAUUUGGCUUAGGUGAAUGUAAACUUCCGACUUCAACUAUAUAUAAGCUGCAGACUCCCAAUCCAAAGGUUGGGUGUUCAAUUCUAGCGCUAGAAAGUUUGUUAUUGUAUUUUAUUAAGCUUUUCCCUUUACUUUACACUAAUCUUAACUAUUCAGAAUGAAUGCCUAAACUUAAGUUUUAGUUUCAUGUUUGCCGAGUUUGACUGAAAAGCUAAAAUAUGGCAACAGCUGGUGUAGUUAAAACAUCAAGCCAUGGUGUAAUUCUGCUACUGCAGUUACAGCACAGGUUGGCAUUUUAUUUGAGGAUUAGAUUGUUAUUGUUACAACUGUUUAUAAGGAAAAUACAGACACAUUUUAUAUGUUCAAAUCAUGUUGGAAAUCAAUGAAAGCAUAUUUUGUUGUUGUUGCAAUAUAAAACUGGGAAGAGCAAGGACAAUUGUAGAGGGUCAAACCAAAUCUGGUAAAUCAAACCAAAUGUAUUUAUAAAGCCCUUCUUACAUCAGCUGAUAUCUCAAAGUGUUGUACAGAAACCCAGCCUAAAACCCCAAACAGCAAGCAAUGCAGGUGUAGAAGCACGGUGGCUAGGAAAAACUCCCUAGAAAGGCCAGAACCUAGGAAGAAACCUAGAGAGGAACCAGGCUAUGAGGGGUGGCUAGGAAAAACUCCCUAGAAAGGCCAGAACCUAGGAAGAAACCUAGAGAGGAACCAGGCUAUGAGGGGUGGCUAGGAAAAACUCCAUAGAAAGGCCACUUUUGAAAAAUGCACUUUUCGUAGUAAGUUUAGGAGAACGUACGUAGCAGGUUAGGAGAAAAAGGUUAUGAUAAUUAGGUUAAGGUUAGGAAAAUGGUUAAGGUUAGCUAAUACGCAAAAAAAAGUAUUAUAUACUUAGAUGUCAAUUUGACAAAAGCUGUAUCCCAUCUAGACAUAUUGCCGCUUUCCAUGUUGUCUGUAGCUUGUGAGGUGUGGAAACACUUUGUUGUUUUUAUACUAUGUUGCUCUGUCUGUAUGCUACAUCUUGCUUGUCCUAUGUUGCUCUGUCUGUAUGCUACAUCUUGCUUGUCCUAUGUUGCUCUGUCUGUAUGCUACAUCUUGCUUGUCCUAUGUUACUCUGCGUGUGCUCACUGCUCAAUGAUUGUCUGUAUUUUUGUUGUAAUUGUUUUUAAUAACCUGCCCAGGGACUGCGGUUGAAUAUUAGCCGGCUGGAUAAAACCGGCACUUUUACUGAAAUGUUUAUUAAUGGUGCACUGUCCCUGUAAAAAUAAAAUAAAAAUAAACUCCAACAUGACUGAGGAAAGUGGCAAGGCAAAAUAUUUUCUAUAAAUAUUGUUAGGGGUGCUUAACAAUUAAAUGAUUUGUAAAAAAAAAAUAUAUACAUUUAGACUCAAUAUAUUUUACAAUACAACUAAUAACAGAAAGAUACAUUUCUUCAUAAACACACCAGCUGAUUCGCAGGUCUGCAGAGCCGCUUCAAUCCACUAGAGGGCAGCAGAUGUAUUUUUAUUUUACCUUUAUUUAACCAGGCAAGUCAGUUAAGAACACAUUCUUAUUUACAAUGACAUAUA
rnacentral:lncRNA from 1 species